CUCUACAGUCCUUAGGCCUGGAAGAGACCACAAACUAUUAUUAUUAUUUGUCCUUCCUCACCUACUGACAUCAAUUGGAACAAAGCCAAUUACAGUACUUGGACCCCAAUAUAUCAAUGAUUCUCUCAGUAGGCUACAGGGUAUGUGGUCACUCAUCAUGCAGCCUUUUUUAAUGGCAUAUGCUAAAGCACUCACUAUAUGCCAGGCACUGUACUAAACACUGAAGGAGAUACAAGCUAAUCAAUGUGGACACAGUCUAUAUCCACGAGAGAUUCUCAAUCUUAAUUCCCAUUUUACAGGUGAGGAAACUGAAGCACAAAGAAGUGACUUUCCCACGAUCACACAGCAGACCACUUGGAGUGAUAUCAUCUAAUUGGCUUUCUCAGAUUUCUAAUGUCAAAAUAUUAUCACAAGCAUGGAAGCCCACCAACACCAAAAACAAAAGUGUUUGCUGCAUUAUGUACGCUUUGAACUCCAGAAGGAA
rnacentral:lncRNA from 1 species